UUCUGUAUGUGCAUAACUAAUGAUAUUACUCUCCAGAUCACACUAUCGCCGCUUAUGGUUCCUAUGCUCUUUAUGCUUAAGGAGAGAAAUUUCUCGUAUUUUUCGCAAGAAGCACACAGUUGGCAGUCCGCUGGGGAGUGUCCUGACCUCGCAAGAACUCUUUGAGAAACUCCGUUACAGACCCAGAACACGCCAUUGGAUCUUCCUUUUCUCAUUCUCUCCUUUAUCUCGCGUCUUGUCCCCGCCGCAAGCACAGUAUUCACAUUGUCAACCUAAAUAGCGAUUCUAAGUUAAUUAUCUAGGAUCACCGUAUCAGCACCCUAAAAAGAAGGUUUAGAGUGAGAAAAUAUAUAUCAAUGACCUUGGAGUAUUCCCCGGGUAAACCGCUAAAUAUAAGCGACCAAUGUGUUCUCGUCACUAAUAAAGCCCACAUUGCACAAUGUAGAAUACUAUGAUGCCAUCACUUUGUUCGCGUAGUCCUGUCCACUUGGAUAUUCUGAGAGACAAGAAGUACAGUUUGUGCUUGAGGUAGGAUCGAAUCGAGUCGAUUUGCUUUCACACUGUAAAGAGGCGAUUCCCACGCUAUAGGGGGGCAUCGGUGGUAAGUACGUAGCUAAUAGCCUGAUCACCAAAAGAGAGCCUAAGGGGGCUGGUAGCACGGGCAUAUUGUUUUGCAGGCACCGAAAUGUCAGCUGUAUUGGGCUCAAUCCUUUGCAAACCCAAUCGCAUUCAUUUACACUGGGGGUCAGUGCAAGGACCCUUACCCUCCAGAGUUCCGGCGGAAAAGUUGAAAGAAAGGGCUUCCAGAGCGUAAGUCUACAGAGACAAGGGCUGCUGGGGCGUAGAACUUUAAGAGAAGCAGGGACUUGAGAAAGGAGGGGUCUUUUUGGAACACCAUAAAAAUAUACCUUCGCGUCCUUUCUGGGCGUUGAAAAACUUGUCUUUCCGAAACUUGAGGCAAAAUCCUUUUAACUGAGUGAUAUACUCGAUGAGGGUUUUCUUUGUUGCUCGGGGGUUCACUACAAAAUUUUACGUUAUAUGAAUGAUUCUGC